GACUUAGUACUUUAAAUUAAAAGACUUGAUUUGCAUUCAAAAAAUAAGCUUAAAGCUUCUAGGUCC
rnacentral:tRNA from 1 species